rnacentral:rRNA from 1 species
CGGGUGAGUAACGCGUAGGCAACCUGCCCUUCCAGAGGUAUAGCCUCGGGAAACCGGGAUUAAAACCGCAUAAAAUCAUAGGUUCGCAUGAACCAAAGGUCAAAGAUUUAUCGGUGAAGGAUGGGCCUGCGUCUGAUUAGCUGGUUGGUAGGGUAAAAGCCUACCAAGGCGACGAUCAGUAGCCGACCUGAGAGGGUGAUCGGCCACAUUGGAACUGAGACACGGUCCAAACUCCUACGGGAGGCAGCAGUGGGGGAUAUUGCACAAUGGGGGAAACCCUGAUGCAGCAACGCCGCGUGAGGUAUGAAGGCCUUUGGGUUGUAAGCCUCUGUCCUAGGGGAAGAAAAAAAUGACGGUACCA